rnacentral:rRNA from 1 species
GCUUAACACAUGCAAGUCGAACGGUAACAGGGAUAGUUCGCUAUCUGCUGACGAGUGGCAAACGGGCGAGUAACACGUGCUUGACCUACCUUAAGGUAAGGAACAACUUUGGAAACAAAGCUAAUUCCUUAUAUGCUCUUAAAUUUUAAAUAAUUAAAGAGAAAAGAUUUAUCGCCUUAAGAGGGGGGUGCGGAUCAACAGUUAGUUGGUGAGGUAAAUGCUCACCAAGACGAUGACGGAUAGCCGGCCUGAGGGGGUGAUCGGCCGCAACGGUACUGAGACACGGACCAGACUCCUACGGGAGGCAGCAGUGAGGAAUAUUGGUCAAUGGAGGCAACUCUGAACCAGCCAAGCCGCGUGAAGGAAGACUGUCCUAUGGAUUGUAAACUUCUUUUGUGGCAGAAUAAACUACCGUACUUGUACGGUAUUGCAUGUAUGCCAUGAAUAAGCAUCGGCUAACUCCGUGCCAGCAGCCGCGGUAAUACGGAGGAUGCAGGCGUUAUCCGGAUUUAUUAGGUUUAAAGGGUGUUCAGGCUGCCUGGUAAGUCAGGGGUGAAAGUCGGUUGCUCAACGAUCGAAUUGCCUUUGAAACUGUCAGGCUCGAGUAUGGAUGCGGUAGGCGGAAUGUGUAGUGUAGCGGUGAAAUGCAUAGAUAUUACACAGAACACCGAUUGCGAAGGCAGCUUACCAAACCAGCACUGACGCUGAAGCACGAAAGCGUGGGGAGCGAACAGGAUUAGAUACCCUGGUAGUCCACGCCGUAAACUUUGCUCACUCGCUGUUGGCGAUAGACAGUCAGCGGCCAAGGGAAACCGAUAAGUGAGCCACCUGGGGAGUACGGCCGCAAGGUUGAAACUCAAAGGAAUUGACGGGGGCCCGCACAAGCGGUGGAACAUGUGGUUUAAUUCGAUGAUACGCGAGGAACCUUACCUGGGCUUAAAUGUGAAGUGCAUUGAUUGGAAACAAUCAUUUCCUUCGGGACCCUUUACAAGGUGCUGCAUGGUUGUCGUCAGCUCGUGCCGUGAGGUGUCGGGUUAAGUCCCAUAACGAGCGCAACCCCUAUUGUUAGUUACCAGCGCGUGAUGGCGGGGACUCUAGCGAAACUGCCGGUGUAAACCGCGAGGAAGGUGGGGAUGACGUCAAAUCAGCACGGCCCUUAUGUCCAGGGCUACACACGUGUUACAAUGGCCGGUACAGCGGGCAGCUAGGCAGCGAUGUCAUGCUAAUCCCGAAAGCCGGUCCCAGUUCGGAUUGGAGUCUGCAACCCGACUCCAUGAAGGUGGAAUCGCUAGUAAUCGCGCAUCAGCCAUGGCGCGGUGAAUACGUUCCCGGGCCUUGUACACACCGCCCGUCAAGCCAUGGAAGUCUGGGGUGCCUGAAGGCCGUAACC